rnacentral:rRNA from 1 species
AAGCAUAUCAAUAAGCGGAGGAAAAGAAACCAACAGGGAUUGCCCCAGUAACGGCGAGUGAAGCGGCAAGAGCUCAAAUUUGAAAGCUGGCUCCUUCGGGGUCCGCAUUGUAAUUUGCAGAGGAUGCUUCGGGAGCGGUCCCCAUCUAAGUUCCCUGGAACGGGACGUCAUAGAGGGUGAAAAUCCCGUAUGGGAUGGGGUGUCCGCGCCCGUGUGAAGCUCCUUCGACGAGUCGAGUUGUUUGGGAAUGCAGCUCUAAAUGGGUGGUAAAUUUCAUCUAAAGCUAAAUAUUGGCCGGAGACCGAUAGCGCACAAGUAGAGUGAUCGAAAGAUGAAAAGCACUUUGAAAAGAGAGUUAAAAAGCACGUGAAAUUGUUGAAAGGGAAGCGCUUGCGACCAGACUCGCUCGCGGGGUUCAGCCGGCAUUCGUGCCGGUGUACUUCCCCGCGGGCGGGCCAACGUCGGUUUGGGCGGUCGGUCAAAGGCCCUCGGAAGGUAACGCCCCCAGGGGCGUCUUAUAGCCGAGGGUGCAAUGCGACCUGCCUAGACCGAGGAACGCGCUUCGGCUCGGACGUUGGCAUAAUGGUCGUAAGCGACCCGUCU